rnacentral:misc_RNA from 1 species
AAGUCGUAACAAGGUCUCCGUAGGUGAACCUGCGGAGGGAUCAUUACAGAGUUCAUGCCCUAACGGGUAGAUCUCCCAUCCUAUGUUAUCAUUACCAUGUUUGCAUUCGGUUCGGGGCCGGGUCCGAUCGGCAUCAGGCCUGCCAUCCGGGCCUUCAGGCCCGGCUUCCACCGGGGCCUUCCGGGGUCAAUGGGUCGCCCAAGGCCCGACCCGGCCAAGGGAAGGCCAUCCCUCAAAAAACCCCCCUUGGAAAAUUAAUUUCGGUUGGUCGUCUGAGUACCCAUAUAAUAGUUAAAA